GUCCCUUUGGGGACAUCCGAUAAAAUGGAACGAUACAGAGAAAAUUAGGAUGGUCUCUGUGCAAGAAUGACAUGCAUAAAUUGAAAAAUGGUUCAAAUAUCC
rnacentral:snRNA from 1 species